UGAAAACUUAGGAAACCGUAUUGAGAAAUCUGGGGCAACCCCGACGGGGAGCAGGGGGGCUGGGGGCGGGGAAUACAGCUUCGGGCUCCAGAUAAGAGCAGCCUUUGGGCCGCCCCCCUCACUCCUCCGUCCUCUCCCUGGGUCGCUCGGCUCUCCCUGCACCAUGGGACCCGCCGCAGGUCCCAGCCUGCUGCUGCUGCUGCUGGCCAGCGUCUCCCUGGCCCUGGGGGACCCCAUGCCCAGGCGCUGACCUUCCGGAGUGUCCGUCCCUGGGCUGACGUGCACGCCCCUGGCAGGUACUCGAUCAUCACCCCCAACAUCCUGCGGCUGGAGAACGAGGAGACCGUGGUGCUGGAGGCCCACGAAGUGCAAGGGGACAUCCCUGUCACAGUCACUGUCCACGACUUUCCGGCCAAGAAGAAUGUGCUGUCCAGUGAGAAGACCGUGCUGACCAGUGCCACGGGAUAUCUAGGCACUGUCACCAUCAAGGUGGGCGCAGACCUGCACCUCGAAGCCUUGUGCCGUGUGUCCUCCUGACCCCUCCCAUCAAGCCUUUUCCUCC
rnacentral:lncRNA from 1 species